rnacentral:rRNA from 1 species
AUUGAACGCUGGCGGCAGGCCUAACACAUGCAAGUCGAGCGGAUGAAGGGAGCUUGCUCCUGGAUUCAGCGGCGGACGGGUGAGUAAUGCCUAUGAAUCUGCCUGGUAUUGGUGUAUAACGUCCUGAAACGGGCGCUAAUACCGCAUACGUCCUGAUUGAGAAAGUGGGGGAUCUUCGGACCUCACGCUAUCAGAUGUGCCUAGGUCGGAUUAGCUAGUUGGUGGGGUAAAGGCCUACCAAGGCGACGAUCCGUAACUGGUAUGAGAGGAUGAUCAGUCACACGGGAACUGAGACACGGUACAGACGACUACGGGAGGCAGCAGAGGGGAAUAUUGGACAAUGGGCGAAAGCAUGAUCCAGCAAUGCCGCGUGUGUGAAGAAGGACUUAGGAUUGUAAAGCACUUUAAGGUGGGAGGAAGGGAAGUAAGUUAAUACAUUGAUGUUUUGACGUUACCAAAAGAAUAAGCAACGGCUAACUACGUG